rnacentral:tRNA from 1 species
GGUGGCUUAGUGGUAGAGCGCUUGCCUUGCAUGCAUGAAGCCCUGGGUUCGAUUCCUCAGUACCA